rnacentral:rRNA from 1 species
UACAGGGGGUGCGAGCGUUGUCCGGAAUCACUGGGCGUAAAGGGCGCGUAGGUGGCCUGAUAAGGGUGUGGUGAAAGUCCGGGGCUCAACCCCGGAUCGGCCGUGCCGACUGUUAGGCUAGAGUACUGUAGGGGCAGGCGGAAUUCCGGGUGUAGCGGUGGAAUGCGUAGAGAUCCGGAGGAAGACCGGUGGCGAAGGCGGCUCACUGGACCGGUACUGACGCUGAUGCGCGAAAGCGUGGGGAGCAAACGGG